rnacentral:rRNA from 1 species
GCUGGUGAUUAUUGCGAAGCGCCCCCACCCGAUCCCAUCCCGAACUCGGCCGUGAAACGCUUCAGCGCCGAUGGUACUGUGUCUUAAGGCACGGGAGAGUAGGUCGUUGCCAGCC